rnacentral:rRNA from 1 species
UACGUAGGGUGCGAGCGUUGUCCGGAAUUACUGGGCGUAAAGAGCUCGUAGGUGGUUUGUCGCGUUGUUCGUGAAAACUCACAGCUCAACUGUGGGCGUGCGGGCGAUACGGGCAGACUAGAGUACUGCAGGGGAGACUGGAAUUCCUGGUGUAGCGGUGAAAUGCGCAGAUAUCAGGAAGAACACCCGUGGCGAAGGCGGUUCUCUGGGACGGUACUGACGCUGAGGAGCGAAAGCGUGGGGAGCAAACAGG